AGGGCGUGCAGUCUGCCAUGCUUCUUCUUUUCAAAAUGCUUGAAGCCUUGAUUUGGGACUUUUGUAGAGUGAGAUCUCGUCUCUGCCUCCCUCUCGCUUUUGACUUCUUGGACAUAAGCAGUUAGACCAGGGAACCACAACCCCAUGUGGAGUCAUCCCAUACACCCUGUAUGGCCUCUCCCAAUCUGUCCACCCCAAUCCAUGUAGCCAUGGGAAGCAUCUGGACUCUAGGCUUGUGCUGAGCUUAGUAGAAACUACGCCUCUCCUGAAAUUCAUAUGCACCUUGUCUUGGAUGCGAGGCUUCCCCUUACGGAUAUUCAAAAACCUUUGAGGAUAACAUGCUGCCAAAAGAAUACAAUCCAAAGACCUCUGUCAACUCCUCUAAUUGUCCUCCCUAUCUUACCUCUGAGAGCACAGUCCUUUGAGUUCCCUUCAAACGAGCCACUCCCACCUCUUCAUCUCAUGCAGGGCCCCUUCCUCAGUCUGUCUACAUUGUCUGCUCUUUGCUCUUCCUUCUUUCUACCAGACCCUUGCUUCUUGUCUUCACAAGCAAAUCCUCUUCCACUUUAUCUUCUAAAGCCAAGGCCACCUCAUUCACCCUUCUCUGGUGCUCCCAUCUGCGUUCUGCAGCCACUUCAUGACCCUGAGUCUGAAGACAGCUCCACCUUGGAGAAGUCACAUCACCUCUCUGGGCCCAGUUCGUGCCUCCAUGAAAGGAUGAUCCAGCUACCUACCAAACAGGUGCCACGAGGACCACACACUGGGCAGAGGGAGAGCAAUUCACUGUGGAGAGGAAAUUUUGCCUGAAGUAUGGCAGCUGGAGGUGGUGGGUUCAGACGCUUCCAUCUGUGUUGGAAGACUAUUCCUUCCAGGAAAGACCGCAGGCAGGGAUCUCCAGGACUGCCCAGGGCUGGGGCAGGCCUCUGAGGGAAGACCAAGCUCAUCCCAGAUCCUGCUUCCUUGGCACAUGUGCAGUAAUCCUAAAUGACCCCUGAACGUACAACGCUUCUGUGAAGACCUGUGUACUUCUUAUGUUGCAUCGUUUGAUCUUGUCUGAUGUUCAGAUGGGAGUGGCAAGGGUCACACGCACAUCAGAACUCACGAAAGUCACUUAGGAGAGCUGG
rnacentral:lncRNA from 1 species